rnacentral:pre_miRNA from 1 species
UAAAUACUCCCUCCGUUCCAAAAUAGAUGACUCAACUUUGUACUAAAGUUAGUACAAAGUUGAGUCAUCUAUUUUGGAACGGAGGGAGUAUAAG